ensembl:lncRNA
UUUUUUUCUUUUCUUUUUUUUUUUUUUCCUGAAACACAGUCUCACUCUGUCACCCAGGCUGGAGUGCAGUGGUACGAUUACAGCUCACUGCAGUCUUGACCUCCCAGUUUCAAGUGAUCCUCCCACCUCAGCCUCCCGAGUAGCUGGGACCACAGACAUGUGCCAUCAUGCCUGGCUAAUUUUUUUGUAUUUUUUGUAGUGAUGGGGUCUCACUACGUUGCCCAGGCUAGUCUCAAACUCCUGGGCUCAAGCAAUCUACCCGUCCCAGCUUCCUAAAGUGCUGAGAUUACAGGGAUAAGCCAUUGCACCCAGGCCUGAUCCAUCUUUUCGUCACUAAAGCAGGUCAAGGAGACAGACAUAGUGCCUCCUUCUGGGAUGCAAUAGGAAGUACACAAUACCAAUGAAGAGUUCUUUCCAAAAAGAUUGAAUCUAUUCUGAUCUAGAUCUACCUACCAGUUUAUAGGAAAUAUGGGGACACUAGGAAGCAAGUAAAAUAACCUCAAGAGGAUGUGCUUAGCCAAAAUCAAAGUGAGAGGUUGUCUAGGAUAAAUGUCCUGAUGUCUUCACCAAAUAAAUGGCAUUUGAAAACAAAAGGAGCAAGGAGACUGUUAGCAACUUAGAGAACACAUCAACCAAAUGCAAUAUGUAGACUUUGUUUGGAUACUGUUUGAACAAACCAACAUGUCAUUUUUGGGGCCAGGCACAGUGGCUCAUGCCUGUAAUCCCAACACUUUGGGAGGCCGAGGCAGGUGGAUCACAAGGUCAGGAGAUCGAGACCAUCCUGGCUAAAAUGGUGAAACCCCGUCUCUACUUAAAAAUACAAAAAAUUAGCUGGCGUGAUGGCAGGCGCCUGUAGUCCCAGCUACUUGGGAGGCUGAGGCAGGAGAAUGGCGUGAACCCGGGAGGCAGAAAUUGCAGUGAGCCGAGAUCAUGCCACUGCACUCUAGCCUAGGCAGCAGAGCAAGACUCUGUCUCAAAAAAAAAAAAAAAAAAAAGUGGAGGAAUACAGAUAAAACAAGUUGGCAAAAUGAUAAUAAUUGUUGAAGCUAGGUGGUAGGUUUGCAGGAGGGACUUCAGCCUACCAUCCUUUCUCCUUUUUUUCUUCUUUUUUUUUUUUAACCUUUCUCCUUUUAUGUGUGUUUGAAAUUUUCAUCUGCAGAGCACUUGCUGCUCCUGGAGAUACCUACCCUAUAGAGCCAAAGGCCAGUGCACCCCAAAGAGAGGCCAGCAUAACAUAGCUGACCAGGAAAGGACAAAUCUGCACAAGGGCUUCCUCUGCAGAGCACAGGGGCUGCCAUGGUUAGGGUGCAAGGGGUGGUUGCCUGUCCAAUCCAACCCUAGCUGUCAUGUCACCUGAACUAUGAGUGACAUAGUCUGAAGGACAAGGGGCCUUCCUCUUGCAGCAUGAGAACACCCUUCCUACACAUUUAUGAGUGCUCUCAGGCAGCUACUCCCACUACUCAGCCAUCAUCACUCCAAACCUGAGCUGGCAAGGCCUUGGCCUUGAGCAUCCAACACUGGCCACCCCACUCCAGGUCAGAUGCAGGGGUUUAGAAAGUAGGCUCACAGGGCCCUAGGAAGGGGAGAAGUUCUCACAGUAU